AUAUACAAAAUCAUCAAAAUGACAACAAAAUCUACAAAUUUAUAAAAACAAAAAAUUUACAGAAAUACACAAAUCUACUAAUUUCCCUAAUCUAAUUAAACAAAAACGUACAUGUUUAAAUGCAAAUCACCGCAAAAGAUUUGCCAAAUCAAAUUUCUAAUUUUGAUUACCGCCCAUUCACAGACAUUAAUAUUUGGUAUAUGAAGCCACAAUGUUGAACACCAGUCAACCAUGGACGGAUCUAGCGGAACUCAUCAUGGUAAUCAUAAUCUUCGUCUUCAUAAAAUACAGCGCUAUAGAAAACAUAUAUAUGGAUUUUCGAUCAUCUCUAUCAACCUCAUACGCCCAUCCUUAUCUGUAUCAGCCUGCAAAAUCCAAUAGUCUCGAAAUAAGUAGCUAGUCUUCCAGCGAAGGCUCAAGUUACAGGUUUUGUGAGGUAUAUCAAUGUGAGAGAGAGAGCGUAAUUGGGGAUGAAGAAGAUGGACGUGUGAGAGAUGGAGAGAUAGGAGAG
rnacentral:lncRNA from 1 species